CGUAUUAUAGGGGGUAUUCAUAAUGUGAUAUAUCAGGGUUAAAAAGAGGUGUUCACCAUAUGCGGGUUCCGUUUGUGGGUCACUUAGACAACAUAUUAGGAGUUAUCAUGAUACUAUUAAAUGAUGUUCUAUUAAUUUCGUUUAUUAUAAGAUAUAUGUAUUAACCGUACUUAUCAAUAGUAUAUAGUCUAUUGUGUGAAUGAGUAGGCGUAGGCCAUUGGUAUCUAGGCAUGCGCACUAACGGUGUGUCUAUUGGUCAGGAGGUCAUGACACCGGGGGUAGGAGGGUCGGGUAUACUGGUGAUUAUCUAUCGGGGGUAUAUAUCGACCCAGUGCAGAAUGAACAUAGCCCUGAUCCUCCAAACGUCUGAGAGCUAGGCUAAGCUAGUAGACUCGUCAUAGCGGCUGCAGAAAAAAGAGAAGAAAAAAAAACAGCUAAUCCAACCUGCGCAACUAUGCCUACUGACUGUAAGUAUUCAUAUGAGUGUAAUAUAUUAUUAUUAUUAUUAUAUCAUGACUAUGACCAUGUGUAUACGCGGCCCAUAUCUGAUUGAUACAUAGUUUUUCCGCAGUGAUUUCUGACGUCGGCUCUGAGAGCGUGAAAAGGCAUCAGGGUCCACGCGCACCAGGUGCAUAUGAUAUUCGGUUGAAUAAUCAAAGAACAAUACUCGGAGAUCGGACCAAUGCGGAGGCCUGUGGUAGUUAUGUGCCUAUCGUGAAUAGUGUGAAACAGUGGACCCCUGGAUCAAACCGUCUAACCAAGAAAAACCUUAAAAGACCGAACCGUGCUCUGCCUCUACCCUGCUCGCCGCUAACAGUGGUGCAACAGCAGAUCCCGUAUAAAAAGGGGCGCAAGGACACCGCUGAUAGUGUUUUAGCUCCAGAGAAUUAUAACUUGGUUCUCCAGGCAGUUAUAAACCCACAAAUCGCGCAGCCAGGGACCGUAUGGUCUGAGUCCAAACAACAAGUGGUCGGGGCGGUGGAUGUGCAUGUGUCUGCGCCGCCUGCAGAGACCGUUACUGCACAGCCGGAUGGAUGCAUUC